ACAUGGUUGGAGAAUGGAUCUGGAGGAGCAAAUGAAAGAAAUCCCAAACAUAGGGCUUUUGUCUUCCUCAAGUUUCAAGGACAAGAGCACGUUUCAAAUGAUCAGUCUAAUAUUUGUCCACAGCAAAAUCGAGAAUCACCAGGGUCUGCAACCAUACAGAAGACCACUAAGCCUCCUCGGAAUCAUCUGAAGAGACAACACAACUUGGCUCGACUCAGAGACCCAUUGUUGACUUGCCAUGUCAGUGCAGACUCGACAAGCUGGGAGCAGCUCGGCACAAGGGGCCUUUGUGUCUUUUCUAGUGGCGCCUGGUCAAAGGACGGGGCCACAGCAAUGGGCAUUGCAUGCCGUAUCUCAAUGCUCAUGAGAACUAUGGAAAUAAGUGAAGCGCACUCAAAUGAGAACAAGAAGAGGUUCUUUAUUCAGAACUUUCCCUUGCAAAGGGGGUCGGCCACCAUCACUCGUGUUUGGCAGCAGCUCGAAGAGAGGGGGCAGAGCUUUCCAGUGGAAGAAGGAAUGGCCUCAGGUACACACUGAUUAGAGGCUGUCGGGAUGGGAACACUGCAGGUGGGCUACAUAGGAGUGAGGCAUCUUCUGGGAUUAGUUAGGGGUGCAUAUUUGAAUUUCUCUUGUUGGUUCUAAGUUGCAAGAAAGGGCAGAAAUUAGUUGUUAAUCAUGUCCGGCCCAUUUUUUUUAAAAAACAAUUUGAAAUGUAUAUUUAUCCUUGAGAAAGAGAGAGAGACAGAGCACAAGCAGCGGAGGGGCAGAGAGAGAGAGAGAGGGAGACAGAAUCUGAAGCAGGCUCCAGGAUCUGAGCUGUCAGCACAGAGCCUGAUGUGGGGCUUGAACUCAUGAACUGCGAAAUCAUGACCUGAGCCGAAGUCGGACAUCCGACUGACUGAGCCACCCAGGUGCGCCGUGUCUGGCCCAUUUUGAUUCAAUCAUCACAUGGUUAUGUUUGGCCCCCAAUUAUAGAUAGUAGGUUGGCCUCCUGGGCUGGUUGUAGGUCAGAGUUUACAUAGGGUCUGGUCAUUGCCCCUUUGUGUAUUGAGUCUGCCAAUAUGACAGAAAUAAUCACCAGGCCAGUGAGAUACCUUUCUCAAUCCCUAGAUUGAGAUCCCAGAGAUCUCCUAGUCUCUGACCUCUGACCUCUCUAAUUGUAACCCUGGGUGAGUCACUUAUUCUCUCUGGGCCUCAUAUUUCUUCUCUGAAAAUUGAGUUCUCAUCUAGAAACUGUUCCCAACCACAUGUUGUGAGUGUAUAAAUGGAAGGGAGAAAUGGUUCUGGGGAAGGAGCAUGCUGGUAGUGACUGGCACCAAUGCAGCAAAGUCAAGUGAGUGUUGGGAGAAUGUGGCUCCGGUAAAUGUUGUUACCUGGCAGGUAUCUUUCUGUGGGAGAAAAUGGUUGAAAACCACUGAUCCAGUUAAAUCUGUCAGCUUCCUUCCACUCUAAUUGCAGUAAGAACCAAUCCUUGGGGCGCCUGGACGGCUCAGUCAGUUAAGCGUCUGACUUCAGCUCAGGUCAUGAGCUGUCGGUGAGUUCAAACCCCACAUAGAGCUCACUAUUGACAUCACAGAGCUUGCUUAGGAUCCUCUGUCCCCCUUUCUAUCUGACUCUCCCUUGCACUCUCUCUCUCAAAAAUAAAUAAACAUUAGCAAAUUAAAAAAAAAAAAAA
ensembl:lncRNA